UUAAAUAAAUUUAAAUAAAAUUAUUUUUAAAUUUUAAAGUUAAUAAUUAAUUUUAAAUAAUUAUUAAAAUUUAAAUUAGUAAUGUGAAUGAAAUUAAUAAAAAUUUAAUUAUAAAAUUUUAUUAAUUGUACCUUUUGUAUCAGGGUUUAUUAAAAAAAAAUUAAAAAAUAAUUAAUAUUUCGAUAUUUAAAGAGCUAUGAAUUUAUAAAUAUUAAAAUUACAAUUUUAUUUUUAAUUUAUUUAUAGAAAAAAAAAUUUAUACAUUUUAAAAGAUAUCUAAUUUUUUUUGAAUUAAAUUAAAUUUAAUUAUAAUAAUUUUAUUAAAGUAUUAUAAAAAAUUAUUAAUUUAUUUUAUUAAAUUAAUAUAAUUAUUAUAAAAAAAAUAUAUGGGAUUAACUAUAUAUUUAUAUUAUAAAAAUAACUUAUUAAUAUAAAUAAAAUAAUAUUCUAAAAAUUUGAAAUUUAAAUAAAAAAUUUUAUAAUUUAUUAAUUAUAUAUAUAAAAUUUAAAAUUGUUAAUGUUUUUAAUUAAAUAAAAAAAUAAUAAAAAUAAUAAAACUAUUUAAUUAAUAAUGAUAAAAUUAGUAAAAUAAUAAAUAUAAUAAAUAAAUUAAUAUAUAAUAUAUGAUAUUUAGGAAUUCGGCAAAUUAAUUAAAUUCACCUGUUUAACAAAAACAUCGUUUUAAGAAAAUAAUUUAAAAUAUAUUCUGCUCAAUGAUUUAAUUAAAUAGCUGCAGUAAAUUGACUGUACAAAGGUAGCAUAAUCAAUUGUUUUUUAAUUAAAAACUAGAAUGAAUGAAUUAAUGAAAUUUAAACUUUCUUAAUUUUAAAAAUUUAAUUUUUUAAUUAAGUUAAAAAACUUAAAUAAAUUUAUGGGACGAGAAGACCCUAUAGAAUUUUAUAAUAUUAUUAAUAUAAUAUAAUUAUUUUUAUAUUAUUUAAUUGGGAGGAUUUUUAAAUUUAUUAAACUUUAAAUAUAAUAAACCAUAAAUUAAUGUAUUUUAAAAAAUUAAUAAUUAUUUAUUUAAAUAAAAAUUAAUUACCUUAGGGAUAACAGCAUAAAAUUUUUUUGUAGAUCAUAUAUAAAAAAAUAUUUGUGACCUCGAUGUUGAAUUAAGAUAAAAUUUAAAAGUAGAAUUUUAAAGUAUUUAGUCUGUUCGACUAUUUAAAUCUUACAUGAUUUGAGUUCAGAUCGGUGUGAGCCAGAUCGGUUUCUAUCUAUAAAAAAUAUAAUUUAUAUUUGUACGAAAGGACUUUAUAAAUAAAAUAAUUUUUAAAAUAUUAAUGAAUAUAAUUAAUUA
rnacentral:rRNA from 1 species